GCUUGGCGGCGUGCCUAAUACAUGCAAGUCGAACGAGUUCUCGUUGAUGAUCGGUGCUUGCACCGAGAUUCAACAUGGAACGAGUGGCGGACGGGUGAGUAACACGUGGGUAACCUGCCCUUAAGUGGGGGAUAACAUUUGGAAACAGAUGCUAAUACCGCAUAGAUCCAAGAACCGCAUGGUUCUUGGCUGAAAGAUGGCGUAAGCUAUCGCUUUUGGAUGGACCCGCGGCGUAUUAGCUAGUUGGUGAGGUAAUGGCUCACCAAGGCGAUGAUACGUAGCCGAACUGAGAGGUUGAUCGGCCACAUUGGGACUGAGACACGGCCCAAACUCCUACGGGAGGCAGCAGUAGGGAAUCUUCCACAAUGGACGCAAGUCUGAUGGAGCAACGCCGCGUGAGUGAAGAAGGCUUUCGGGUCGUAAAACUCUGUUGUUGGAGAAGAAUGGUCGGCAGAGUAACUGUUGUCGGCGUGACGGUAUCCAACCAGAAAGCCACGGCUAACUACGUGCCAGCAGCCGCGGUAAUACGUAGGUGGCAAGCGUUAUCCGGAUUUAUUGGGCGUAAAGCGAGCGCAGGCGGUUUUUUAAGUCUGAUGUGAAAGCCCUCGGCUUAACCGAGGAAGCGCAUCGGAAACUGGGAAACUUGAGUGCAGAAGAGGACAGUGGAACUCCAUGUGUAGCGGUGAAAUGCGUAGAUAUAUGGAAGAACACCAGUGGCGAAGGCGGCUGUCUGGUCUGUAACUGACGCUGAGGCUCGAAAGCAUGGGUAGCGAACAGGAUUAGAUACCCUGGUAGUCCAUGCCGUAAACGAUGAAUGCUAGGUGUUGGAGGGUUUCCGCCCUUCAGUGCCGCAGCUAACGCAUUAAGCAUUCCGCCUGGGGAGUACGACCGCAAGGUUGAAACUCAAAGGAAUUGACGGGGGCCCGCACAAGCGGUGGAGCAUGUGGUUUAAUUCGAAGCAACGCGAAGAACCUUACCAGGUCUUGACAUCUUUUGAUCACCUGAGAGAUCAGGUUUCCCCUUCGGGGGCAAAAUGACAGGUGGUGCAUGGUUGUCGUCAGCUCGUGUCGUGAGAUGUUGGGUUAAGUCCCGCAACGAGCGCAACCCUUAUGACUAGUUGCCAGCAUUUAGUUGGGCACUCUAGUAAGACUGCCGGUGACAAACCGGAGGAAGGUGGGGAUGACGUCAAAUCAUCAUGCCCCUUAUGACCUGGGCUACACACGUGCUACAAUGGAUGGUACAACGAGUUGCGAGACCGCGAGGUCAAGCUAAUCUCUUAAAGCCAUUCUCAGUUCGGACUGUAGGCUGCAACUCGCCUACACGAAGUCGGAAUCGCUAGUAAUCGCGGAUCAGCACGCCGCGGUGAAUACGUUCCCGGGCCUUGUACACACCGCCCGUCACACCAUGAGAGUUUGUAACACCCGAAGCCGGUGGCGUAACCCUUUUAGGGAGCGAGCCGUCUAAGGUGGGACAAAUGAUUAGGGUG
rnacentral:rRNA from 2 species